UUUUCUUUUUGAUUCUUAUGGUGUUGGGCACUUGGGUGGCUUCCACCUUUUGGCGAUUGUGAAUAAGGCUGCAGUGAACACAGGAUACAAGUGUCUCUGAGUCCCUGCUUUCUGUACUUUUGAGUAUAUACCUGGGACAGGAGUUACCAGGUCACAUGGUGUUUCUGUUUAAUUUUCUAAGGAACCGCCAGACUUUUCCACAGUGGCUGCACCAUUUUACGUUCCUGCAGCAUACAGAGGCUUUUGGUGUAAAAUCUAAAAAUCCGUUGCCUACUACAAGGUCCUGAAGCCAUUUCCCUAUGAUUUUAUAAUACUGGCUGCUGCUAUUUUGGUCUCUGGCCCUCUCGAGUCCGUCUGUGUGCCGCGAGGAGGCCCACGCUCACCCUCUGCACGUGGUUUCCAGCUGUCGUGGCACCGUUUGCUGAGCCUCUCCCCACCGAGUGGACGUGGCUCCUGUGCCGAAAACCAGUGGGCCGUGGCUGUGGGGUUCAAGUGGAGAGCCCUGUUCCCUGGUCUGUGUGUCUGUCCCUGUGCUGGUGCCACCCUGCUGUACAGACAGUAGAUUUGUAGGAACUUCCACGGUGA